GCAGCAUCGGGGGUGCCGCAGCCAUGGCCUGGACCGCUCUCCUUCUGAGCCUCCUUGCUCACUUUACAGGUUCUGUGGCCUCCUAUGAGCUGACUCAGCCACUCUCAGUGUCAGUGGCCCUGGGACAGACGGCCAGGAUUACCUGUGGGGGAAACAACAUUGGAAGUAAAAAUGUGCACUGGUACCAGCAGAAGCCAGGCCAGGCCCCUGUGCUGGUCAUCUAUAGGGAUAGCAACCGGCCCUCUGGGAUCCCUGAGCGAUUCUCUGGCUCCAACUCGGGGAACACGGCCACCCUGACCAUCAGCAGAGCCCAAGCCGGGGAUGAGGCUGACUAUUACUGUCAGGUGUGGGACAGCAUGUUGGGUGUUCGGCGGAGGGACCAAGCUGACCGUCCUAGGUCAGCCCAAGGCUGCCCCCUCGGUCACUCUGUUCCCACCCUCCUCUGAGGAGCUUCAAGCCAACAAGGCCACACUGGUGUGUCUCAUAAGUGACUUCUACCCGGGAGCCGUGACAGUGGCCUGGAAGGCAGAUAGCAGCCCCGUCAAGGCGGGAGUGGAGACCACCACACCCUCCAAACAAAGCAACAACAAGUACGCGGCCAGCAGCUACCUGAGCCUGACGCCUGAGCAGUGGAAGUCCCACAAAAGCUACAGCUGCCAGGUCACGCAUGAAGGGAGCACCGUGGAGAAGACAGUGGCCCCUACAGAAUGUUCAUAGGUUCUCAUCCCUCACCCCCCACCACGGGAGACUAGAGCUGCAGGAUCCCAGGGGAGGGGUCUCUCCUCCCACCCCAAGGCAUCAAGCCCUUCUCCCUGCACUCAAUAAACCCUCAAUAAAUAUUCUCAUUGUCAA
rnacentral:lncRNA from 1 species